UCCACUCGUUCUUUAUUACUAAAGGAAAAAACUACAAAUAUCAGUUUCGUACUUUUUCACUUUAAUAUUCUGUAAUUUAAAGUGUAUGUAAUUUAGUACUAUAUGGUUUCGUACUUUCUUAUUUUAAUAUUCUGUGAUUUAAGUGCAUCAAUUUAGUACAUUGUGAUUUUAUUUUUCUCUUUUUGUCAGCAUCUCUAUUAAUAUUUCGUUAAAUUAUAUACAAAAACAUUCAGAUAUCCUACUUAAGUUUAUCGAAUGUUUAUUUUAGUAUCCUUUAGUUUUAACUUUAUCACUGAUUUUUUUUCUCCAUUAAUAUUUCGUUAAAUUAUAUACAAAAAACUUCAGAAACCCUACUUAGUUUUAUCGAAUAUUUAUUUUAGUACCAUUUAAUUUUAACUUUGUCACUAAUUUAACGAAAAAAAUUAGUAAAAUAGAUAAUAAAAAGAGAAAAAUAAAACCACAAAGUAUUAACUUUAUACACUUUAAAUCAUUGGGUACUAAAAUAAGAAAGUGAGAAAUCACAGGAACUAACUUGAUACACUUUAAACCAUAAGAUACUAAAGUGAAAAAAUAUGAAACCACAUGGGGUUAUUUGAAGUUUACCCUUACUAAAAUUGUACACGGUAUUAUGAGUACUAGUUACGGAACCCCGCGCGUUGCGGCGGAAAGUCGAUAUAAUAGUCAAUUAGUAGAACUAUUAAUAUUAUUUUUUUUAUUAUUCAUUAAUAUUUUUGAAUAAUAUUUAUUUUCGUUGUGAGUAUAUUUAGAAAAAUAUAUUUUCAUUAAAACGUAAUAUUUGCCUGACAUGCAAAAGUUUACCCAGGAAAGGUUCUUUCUCUGAAGAUNGAGAGGCGCCAUCACGAAGGCGGAGAGGACGAAAGGACGGUGAGGGGGGCCAAUGCCGCGUCGUACGGAAGAACACGGUUGUGUUCCCGAGGGAGGAAAGCGAUGGCGUCGCGGCUACGAAAGGCAGGGGGGGCGCCUCCGUACGGGUAGGCGGAGAGCGCGAAGCGCGGGGAGGCUUCGGAAGGGAGGGGGGCGCCGCCGUACGGGAGGGCGGAGAGCGCAAAACGCGGGGAGGGCUCCAACCCUAUCGCCCUUUCAUAAGCUUAUAUUGAUUGAGUUUGCCUU
rnacentral:lncRNA from 1 species